ACCGUAGCUCAGUAGUACAGCAUCAGCCUUGCAUGCAGAAGGUCCCAGGUUCUAAUCCCCAGCAUCUCUA